AGAAUCAACGCUGGCGGCGUGCCUCAGACAUGCAAGUCGAACGCGAAAGCCCCCUUCGGGGGGCAAGUAGAGUGGCGCACGGGUGAGUAACACGUAGGUAAUCUACCUUCGGGUGGGGAAUAACAACCGGAAACGGUUGCUAAUACCGCAUAAUGCAGCGGCACCUAAUGGUGACAGUUGUUAAAGCGGGGGAUCGAAAGAUCUCGCGCCUGAAGAGGAGCCUGCGCGGAUUAGCUAGUUGUAGGUAACGGCUACCAAGGCGACGAUCCGUA
rnacentral:rRNA from 1 species